CAAAAACAAUGGAUGGGAACAUCAUCUGGUCAGAUUCCAGCUGCCCUAUGGCUCUGGCUCAUAUUAGAUGAUGGGAAUGGGAUCUCAGAGGAAUCUGUCACUCAGAGGGUGAAUACUUGAAAAUGUGACCAGCUCUUCUACAGCUUUUGGGCCACAAGCAACUGUGGAGUAGGAAUAUAUUUCAUCAGUUGGUGGACAAAAAGCCAAAUGCGAAGGUGAAGGAAUUUACACUUUUUUGAGUGCCUGGUGUCCCUCAGCGAAAGGCAACCAGCAGCUCCUGCUCACAUUCUUGUUGCCAAAUCUUUGAUUUCCUGAAGAGCUGAACAGUCGGAGCCCCUGGCUGGGGUAAGUGAAAAGCUGCCCAUCCUCUGGCUUUGUUUGAUGCCUUCAUGAAGAUCUGAAAGCACACGCCUGAAGAAGUAAUGGAAAGUGAGAAGGGCAAGACAUCCUAGACAUGGACUUGAAGGCGUGCAGGAGGAGUCAGAGAGACAGACACGAGCUGACCUUGAGGUGCUGACUCGGGGGGAUGCCUGGCACUUCAUCUUAUGGCCUAAUGUGAGCAGCUGAUCUCCUGCUCUGCAGUGCUCCUCGGUGCUGCCUGCCCCACCCGCGUUCCAGCCUGUCAGUCAUCACCCGGCGAUGGUGGCUGACCUUCCAAAAUGAUAGUGAAUGGAAGAUGCAUCAACAGCUAGGAGAGGAUGUUCCUUGCCCUGACUUCACAAAACCAUUAUUUCAACCAAAGUGGAUGGAUCAAUCUCAUGCAGUGUCAAAGCAGGCAAACCCACUGGGAAAGAGUGAAGGUAACAAAUGAAAGGAGAAGGCAAAAGGACAGAAUGAAUUUCAGAAGUGG